rnacentral:snoRNA from 1 species
UAUUUAUUUUUCAAGUGACUUCACUGUAGAAAAGAUGUAUAAGAGCCAUAACUGCAUGCUAGAGCAAUCUGAAGAAAAAUUUGACAGUUCAGUCCAGCAGAGCACCUGCAGGUGCCACUGGCCUUUCCUAUAAUG